rnacentral:rRNA from 1 species
CCCAGACUCCUACGGGAGGCAGCAGUGGGGGAUAUUGCACAAUGGGGGGAACCCUGAUGCAGCGACGCCGCGUGGGUGAAGGAGUAUUUCGGUAUGUAAAGCCCUAUCGGCAGGGAAGAAGCAAGACGGUACCUGACUAAGAAGCCCCGGCUAACUACGUGCCAGCAGCCGCGGUAAUACGUAGGGGGCAAGCGUUAUCCGGAUUUACUGGGUGUAAAGGGAGCGUAGACGGCAGUGCAAGUCCGGAGUGAAAGCCCGGGGCUCAACCCUGGGACUGCUCUGGAAACUGUAAAGCUGGAGUGCGGGAGGGGCAGGCGGAAUUCCUGGUGUAGCGGUGAAAUGCGUAGAUAUCAGGAGGAACACCAGUGGCGAAGGCGGCUUACUGGACUGUAACUGACGUUGAGGCUCGAAAGCGUGGGGAGCAAACAGGAUUAGAUACCCCAGUACA